rnacentral:rRNA from 1 species
UACGUAGGGCGCGAGCGUUGUCCGGAAUUAUUGGGCGUAAAGAGCGCGUAGGCGGUCCGAUAAGUCGGCUGUGAAAGUCAGGGGCUCAACCCUUGGAAGCCGGCCGAUACUGUCGGACUAGAGUCCGGAAGAGGCGAGUGGAAUUCCCGGUGUAGCGGUGAAAUGCGCAGAUAUCGGGAGGAACACCAAUGGCGAAGGCAGCUCGCUGGGACGGUACUGACGCUGAGGCGCGAAAGCGUGGGGAGCAAACAGG